rnacentral:rRNA from 1 species
GAUGAACGCUGGCGGCGUGCUUAACACAUGCAAGUCGAACGAUGAACUUCCUUUGAUUUCCUUCGGGUCUGAUUAGUUUGUGACUGAGUGGCGAACGGGUGAGUACCGCGUGGGUAACUUGCCUUGACCAGGGGGAAUACCGUUGGAAACGGCUGCUAAUACCGCAUACGCGCUAGGCAUCGCAUGAUGCAGUGUGAACAACUCCGGUGGUAUUAGAUGGACCCGCGUUGGAUUAGCUAGUUGGGGAGGUAACGGGCGACCAAGGCGACGAUCCAUAGCCUACGUGAGAGGGUGACCGGCCACAUUGAGACUGGGACGCAGCCGAGACUCUUACGGGAGGCAGCAGUGGGGGAUAUUGCAAAGUGGGCGAAAGCCUGAUGGAGCGACGCCGGUUGAGCGCAGAUGUAUGGAGGGAAGUAGAGCUCUAUCAGCAGGGAAGAUAAUGACGGUACCUGAAGAAGAAGCACCGGCUAAAUACGUG